GCAAGUCGAGCGAGGACUUCGGUUCUAGCGGCGGACGGGUGAGUWACGCGUGGGAAUGUGCCCUUCUCUACGGAAUAGCCCUGGGAAACUGGGAGUAAUACCGUAUACGCCCUAUUGGGGAAAGAUUUAUCGGAGAAGGAUCAGCCCGCGUUGGAUUAGGUAGUUGGUGGGGUAAUGGCCUACCAAGCCGACGAUCCAUAGCUGGUUUGAGAGGAUGAUCAGCCACACA
rnacentral:rRNA from 1 species